ensembl:rRNA 5S_rRNA 5S ribosomal RNA
UCCAGCUGCCAUAUCGCCCUGCAGCCCAAGUCUGGUCGCCCACUGAAGCUAAGCAGGGUUGAGCCUGGUCAGUACCUGGAUGGGAGACCUCCUGGGAAAACUAGGUUGCUGCUGGAA